GACGAACGCUGGCGGCGUGCUUAACACAUGCAAGUCGAACGGAAAGGCCCUGCUUUUGUGGGGUGCUCGAGUGGCGAACGGGUGAGUAACACGUGAGUAACCUGCCCUUGACUUUGGGAUAACUUAAGGAAACUGGGUCUAAUACCGGAUAGGAGCUCCUGCUGCUUGGUGGGGGUUGGAAAGUUUCGGCGGUUGGGGAUGGACUCGCGGCUUAUCGGCUUGUUGGGGGGGUAGUGGCUUACCAAGGCUUGGACGGGUAGCCGGCCUGAGAGGGUGACCGGCCACAUUGGGACUGAGAUACGGCCCAGACUCCUACGGGAGGCAGCAGUGGGGAAUAUUGCACAAUGGGCGGAAGCCUGACGCAGCAACGCCGCGUGCGGGAUGACGGCCUUCGGGUUGUAAACCGCUUUCGCCUGUGACGAAGCGUGAGUGACGGUAAUGGGUAAAGAAGCACCGGCUAACUCCGUG
rnacentral:rRNA from 1 species